ensembl:lncRNA
CACACAAAAUGCAUUGUGGUCAGCACAAACCAUGUUUAUUCUUGUAAGACAAGUUUAAGUAUUAGUGCAUAUUGAUCUUUGUUUUCCAGCAUAUAACUCUGGUGGAAAUCCAUUAACGCUGAUGUUUUUCGGGACCAGGGUGAUGCAGGGAUGUGGAGUGUGUUUGUGUGCCUCAGUUGCUCUUUCUCCAUGCAGGGUGCAGGUUCUUCUGGACAUGUCUGGGAUGAACGCCCUCCACCUGCUCCAUCUCCAGCACGCUCUGUGAAUACUACUGCAGGAGCAGCUGGCCAACCAACAGAGCUUCAAUGUCAUCCUUUUUGGAUCAGAUGUCAAGUCGUGGCAGGAGAAGAUGGUUCCCUCCAUCAAUGAAAACCUUCAAGCUGUUUGGCAGGAAGAGGACAGAUGUGCUUUUGACUUCACAGUCUGUUGUUCUCUUUCUCAUUUUCUCUGCCUCCUUCUGUUUUUAAAGGCCUUUCAUUAGUGGUGUUUGCUAUUGCUACUGCACUACCAGAUCAGAGUUUUAUCAAAACUCAUUAAAAAUAACUGAAAUCACAUCUAUCAGUUCUCUGAAAAUUAACUUAGCAGUCAAUCCAUUUUUAGGCAUUUCAUUUUGUGUUCACUUAGCCUAUUUCAGUUGUGCAUUUCAUUCUAGUAAUUGUUUUUUGUUCCUAAGUAUAUUUUAAUCGCUUGCAAACCAAUUUCCUGUCAAAUGUAGUGCACAGUAUGUGCAUUUGUUGUCGGGUGGCCAUCACAUUUCUUGUGGCAUUCACUUAUUUUGUGGAGUUUACAGGAGCAAUAUUUUAUUUGUUUAUUGGGUGCCACUCUUUGGAGUUAGAAGAUGUAGAACUUUUGAAUGCGGCCCAAUGGAAGACUUUUCAUGAUCGGCCAUCCGUGAUGUAGAUGUAGGUGAAUUUGCUCCUUCAUUGGAACAGAUUGGUAGAAAUGUAGCAUUUACUCACCAUUAGACCAUCCAAGAUGUAAAUGAGUUUGUUUCUUCAUUAGAACAGAUUUGGAGAAAUUUAGAAUAGCAUCCCUUGCUCACCAAAGGAUCCGCUGCAGUGAAUGGGUGCCAUCAGAAUGAGAGUUCAAACAGCUGAUAGAAACAUCACAAUAAUCCACAAGUAAUCCACACCACUAAAGUCCAUCGAUUACAGUCUUGUGCUGUGUGUUUGUAAUGAUCAAAUCCAUCAAGAUGUUUUUAAUCUUCAAACCAUUGCUUCCGAGUAAAAGAUGAGUUUUCCAUAUUGCUUUCUCCAAUGAAAAAGCUGUCACGUCUGAACCAGGAGAGUAAUAUGCAAUGGUCAAAAAACAUCUCUAAACAAGUAUGUAGUGGAUUUUGAUGAGAGGACAACAGGGGGUGGACUUUUUCACUUAUUAUUAUUCACUUGUUAUGAAUUAUGGAAUUUUUUUUUUUUUUUUUUUUUUUUUUUUUUUUUUUUUUUUUUUUUUUUUUUAACAAACAUAAAGGUUUUCACUUCACAAAAUGUUAAUUGAUGGACUGGUGUGGUGUGGAUUACUUGUGGAUUAUUGUGAUGUUUUUAUCAUCUGAUUAGACUCUCAUUCUGAUGGCACCCAUUCACUGUAGAGGAUCCACUGGUAAGCAAGGGAUGCAAUUCAAAAUUUCUACAAAUCUGUUCUAAUGAAGAAACAAACUCAUUUACAUCUUGGAUGGUCUAAUGGUGAGUAAAUCCUCAGCUAAUGUUAAUUUUUUUGUUGUUGUUGUUGUUCAUUAUUUUUGUUAUUUUUUCAAGUGCCCACUUGAGACCUCAUAUUACUCAGUUAACAGCUUUGGCUGUUCAAUGGUGUGGGCUAUUAUAUAAGGUAAGUUUCUAUGUGUCAUUGUCACAUGGAGGAGUUUGGAGACAGACCUAAAUUUUUUGUUUUGAAUGUUUUGGUAUAAAUGUUAUUCGAACAUAAACAUGGAAAUAAAUAAAGAUUUUAUCAGACA